AUUGAACGCUGGCGGAAUGCUUUACACAUGCAAGUCGAACGGUAGAGGGGGCAACCCCUCGAGAGUGGCGAACGGGUGAGUAAUAUAUCGGAACGUGCCCAGUCGUGGGGGAUAACUAGUCGAAAGAUUAGCUAAUACCGCAUACGCCCUGAGGGGGAAAGCUGGGGAUCUUCGGACCUAGCGUUAAUGGAGCGGCCGAUAUCUGAUUAGCUAGUAGGUGAGGUAAAAGCUCACCUAGGCGACGAUCAGUAGCUGGUCUGAGAGGACGACCAGCCACACUGGAACUGAGACACGGUCCAGACUCCUACGGGAGGCAGCAGUGGGGAAUUUUGGACAAUGGGGGCAACCCUGAUCCGGCCAUUCCGCGUGAGUGAAGAAGGCCUUCGGGUUGUAAAGCUCUUUCGCAAGGGAAGAAAACUUAACCUCUAACAUAGGUUGAGGCUGACGGUACCUUGAUAAGAAGCACCGGCUAACUACGUGCCAGCCGCCGCCGUAA
rnacentral:rRNA from 1 species